AUGUGGCAAUGGAUUCGUGGUCGUCUGCCCUCGGGCACGGAGGUCUAGAAGCGGCAUGGCCCAGGUGAUGGCCAAUGCCCACUAUGUGACGUCCCCGAAGACUCUAACAAUAUCUUCUUUCGCUGCCCGGCGGCGCGAUUCCUAUGGAGUUGCUUCCGGGACGUUGUCGGUGGCUCUUGGUGCCAUGAUAACCUCCCUGACCUAUUUAGGGAGGUCUUAGAUUCCCAACCUAUCCGUAGGCCGUCCCUUUGGGUCACAGUAGGCACCCUCACGUGGACCCUCUGGAAUUGUCGCAGUAAAUUAGUGAUCGAGCACGUCAUCCCUUGCCGUGUCACUGACGCCAUGUUUAAAAUGUGUGGAUUCCUACAGCUCUGGCGACCGCUUAGCAAGCGGCGGGAUCAUGACUACAUCGACUCCAUCGUUGCCGCCCUUCGUUCUUCGGCCGCCGAGAUGUCCCCGCCGUCUCCACCACCGCCACCGGAUCCGGACUAG
rnacentral:rRNA from 1 species